AACAUUGUUUAAGUAGUAAAUCCACGAGUGUUCGGAGUUUCGGAGACGUUUUGACAUAUGCGCGCGCCAAAAUAAUAAAUAUUAAGUUAAAUUGUAACAUGUAAUUGAAAUUAAUGUUAAAAAAUUACAAUUGAAUAUUAAGUACAUAGAGAUGAACAAGAAAAAAAAUGUUUUAUAUAUUUAUAUGUAAGAGAAGAAAUUUUAAUAAAAUAUAUUAAUAUAUUAAACUAUACUAAAUUAUAUUUUUAUUAUAUUAAAUUAAUUAGUAAUAAUAAUUUUCAAUUUCUUUGAUGUGCCUUGACAGACAAGAUUUAUGAUUAAAAUUUGGUUUUCCAUAUUAAAAUCAUUGUCAGCCGAGAAACAAAAUCUGUGCAAAAUAAAAUAAAAACAUAAAGAAGGAAGAGGGAAAGAAAUAAAUGGAGAAUAAAAAUAUAUAUCAGAUAAGUAGCUAAUAUCUUUAUAAAAAAUUAUGUAUUCUAUGUGCUUUUUGUAGAUGAACCGAUUCUUUUCUUGAAUUAAUUUUUUGUUUCAGCUUCUUAGCCAAUCGUAGAAUGUUGACAGCUGGACCACCAGAGAACAAUUUCUUGCCGAAUAAAGCUGUCAAAUUCUAAGCCUGCUACUUCUUCGAGUAUGUCAAAAUUGUGAGCAAAAAAGUUGAAAUUAUAUUGUAAUAUCAAUUAGAUUUAUCAACGGUGCAGUAACAGAUUGAUACAACAAACUGAGAGCAGCAAACAGAAAAUGUGCUACCCACAUUGGCUUUUACAAGAAUGGGUUUAGAAGUAGCGAUGGAUGCUUGUCCAACAAUCGAGGAUCAUUUCAUAAGUGAAUACACUAUUUGAUGUAAAAUAAACCAAAAUUAUCUUUUUAAAAACGGCAAAAAAGAUGCCAAGUGUGUAUGCUCUAGAAAACACCUCUUAAAUCUAAGAUACUCUUCAUCUAAUUCAACCCAAGUAAUAUCACGAGCCUUCUUAUACCAACUAAAAUGUAACUUUAAUUAUUAAACUAAUAAUUAUUUUAAAUGAAUUAUACUCACAAACACACACACACACACACACACACACAUAUUAACUACAAAAAUAAUGAUAUCAAAAUAUUUCUUUAACGAUAAUUUGUUUUACUCCAAAUAGUAUAUGUUUACUUACGAAAUGAUAUUUGAUGUUACAAUGUGAUUUCAACUUUUUUGCUUACAAUUUUGGCAUACUCGAGGAAGUAGCAGGUUUAGAAUUUGACAGCUUUACUCGGCAAGGAAUUGUUCUCUGAUGGUCCAGCUGUCAACAUUCUACAAUUAGCAAAGAAGCUGAAACAAAAAAUUAAUUCAAGAAAAGAAUCGGUUCAUCUACAAAAAGCACAUAUAGAAUACAUAAUUUCUUAUAAAGAUAUUAACUACUUAUCUGAU